rnacentral:tRNA from 2 species
GGGAAUUAGCUCAGUUGGCUAGAGCAUCUGCCUUGCACGCAGGGGGUCGCGGGUUCGAGUCCCACAUUCUCC